UACGGGGGGGGGCAAGCGUUGUUCGGAAUUACUGGGCGUAAAGGGCUCGUAGGUGGCCAACUAAGUCAGACGUGAAAUCCCUCGGCUUAACCGGGGAACUGCGUCUGAUACUGGAUGGCUUGAAUCCGGGAGAGGGAUGCGGAAUUCCAGGUGUAGCGGUGAAAUGCGUAGAUAUCUGGAGGAACACCGGUGGCGAAGGCGGCAUCCUGGACCUGCAUUGACGCUGAGGAGCGAAAGCCAGGGGAGCAAACGGG
rnacentral:rRNA from 1 species